rnacentral:snoRNA from 1 species
CUGCAAAUAUUCUCACUGUUCUGAUUUUGUAAUAAUCAGGACAGGCUAAACAUUCCUAUAAGACUAUACAUGUGUUCCUAUGCAUAGUUCUUUAUCCACCUAGGUCUCCUUCUUAGAAAUAAGG